CUGACUAUAUUUAAAAAGCAUACAUAUCUCUUCUCAAGAUGCUCGAUUGAAGAACAACUCAGCUCCAUCUCUUGGUCUUGGAUGUGGAUCAUCGGUCUCAUUUUCAUUCAUCUUAGAAUGAGACAUUAAUAAGAACAAUCUAUCCAAAUAAAAACAUAAAUUACCAAAAAGAAAAUCUCAUAUCUCAUCAAAAAAUAAAUAAAUUUACGAUCUUGUGAAUAAAAUUAGUUCUGUAGCAUCAACUUAAAAGAAAUAUUUCAGUUAAAAUUAGCAGAUUGGAAUUCAUAGAUCCAUUGUAGUGUUGAACAAAUAUCUCCAGCUGAGUGCUGAUAUAAUCUAAAAAGAUACUCCAAUGCACAAUAUUUUUGAUGGUCCUGGAUCAGAUUGAUCCAAAUGUACUGUACAGUUAGUAAGACUCCUGCAAAAAGGUCUGUUAAGACAUAGAAUGAAAGAUGUGAAAAUAUUAUAAAAUACAACCAAUAAAACAUGGAAAUUUGAGGUGUACAGUAUAUGCCAGAUACUCAAUUUCCACUAGAAUGAAGUAUCACUAGACUCAUCUGAUUUAAGGGCACAAAGAAUGCAUAGUAGUUGGAAACUUAGGCCACAACUAGAUGCUCAGAAAUGAACACUGCGCAGCUUCCUCUAGGACAAUCAUUCAUACUGUAACUCAAAUGUCAUGUAUUAGAUUGAUAAGAAUAAGAAGAGUUUUAUUCAGAAGAGUCAGGAUAGAUGUGGUGCAGAAGAUAAAGUAGAGGAGAAGUAAAAGAAGCCAAAGCAGGGAGAAAAGAAAAGAAGACAAAACUCAGCAAAGAGGAGAUGAUCUUGAGAUUUUACAAAGUGGACCAGCCCGGAACAGGGAAAACAUAAGCAGGUACAUCUGUGAGUCUUCUGGCUCCAUUAACAUCUUCCUUUGAUGAGAAAACACAUCGAAGAGGAAGUUAAAACAUAUUACGUGACAUAAAAGUGCAUAAAAAUAAAUUACCAUAAAAUAUAAGGAAUGAACAACCUUAAUCAAAUAGAAAUUUAGCAAUAAGCAGUUAACUGCAGUCAUCAUGUAAAUUUGCAUUACGAUACGUCUAUUUAUCUAUCCAUGCAACAUAAGCAUCCUUUACAUUAGUUUCAGCAAUAUGGCAAACCAGUAGCAAUUGUGUUUUGUGAGGACCUACCAGAGACUAUAAUUUUAAACUGCAGGAGAGAGGAAGAAAACUAUCAAAUAACAUCAUUCAGAAUUUUUUUUAAGAACUUAAGGAACGUUCUUUGAACAUCACUAUUUGACAAAGGAUAGAUUGGAAGAGGAGGGGGUUCCUCUAGAAAUGCAGAUAAAUCUCAUAUCUCAUAAAAAAACAGAUAAAUUCACAAUCUUGUGAAUAAAAUUAGUUCUGUAGUAUCAACUUAGAAGAAGCAUCUCAGCUAAAAUUAUUUUUCGAUUGAACCAAAUUCCAAAAAUUUAAUUUUGCAGGUUCGGAGCAAACCAAAACAAACAAUAAGCAAUUCAGGAAUCAUGACGUAUCUCAACAUUACCAGUAGAUGA
rnacentral:lncRNA from 1 species